UACGAAGGGGGCGAGCGUUGUUCGGAGUUACUGGGCGUAAAGGGCGCGUAGGCGGCGAUCCAAGUUAGGCGUGAAAGCCCCGGGCUUAACCUGGGAAUUGCGCUUAAGACUGGACUGCUUGAGUGCGGGAGAGGUGAGUGGAAUUCCCAGUGUAGAGGUGAAAUUCGUAGAUAUUGGGAAGAACACCAGUGGCGAAGGCGGCUCACUGGCCCGCAACUGACGCUGAGGCGCGAAAGCUAGGGGAGCAAACGGG
rnacentral:rRNA from 1 species